AAGUCGUAACAAGGUUUCCGUAGGUGAACCUGCGGAAGGAUCAUUAACACGUGAACUUUAAGUCCCCUCUUGCAGCCCAUGAGGAACAGCAAUCCCGGUAAAUCAUUGCCAAACAGUUUUGAUUCGGGACCUCUGUCCAAAAGGAGUUGCAAUCGAAGGGUGGAAGCAGUGGCAUGGCUUCCCCAAGCAGUUAGUGAAUGACAGUGUCACUGACUGUGUAAGGAUAACGCCUCACGGUUGCUAGAGGUCGAUCACCGACCGGCAGACAUGUCACAGGGUCACCACGCCCCUUAAUCACUCCACUUGAAAAUGCCCCGCCUAGUGGUAACGCGCUAGGUAAAAAAAACCGAACAACUGUUAACAAUGGAUAUCUUGGUUCUC
rnacentral:misc_RNA from 1 species